rnacentral:rRNA from 1 species
UAGGAACGUGCCUUUCGGUUCGGGACAACCCAGGGAAACUUGGGCUAAUACCGGAUACGCCCUUCGGGGGAAAGAUUCAUUGCCGAAAGAUCGGCCCGCGUCGGAUUAGCUAGUUGGUGGGUAAAGCCUACCAAGGCGACGAUCCGUAGCUGGUCUGAGAGGAUGACCAGCCACACUGGGACUGAGACACGGCCCAGACUCCUACGGGAGGCAG